AUAAAUUUUAUUUAUUAAAAAUUAUUUUUAUGUAUAAAAUUAUUAAAAAUAUUUAUAAUAUUUAAUGUUUUAGUAUAGUUUAUAGAAAAAAUAAUAUUAAUUAUAGUGUAUUAGUAUUGUAAAAGAAAAUUGAAAUAAAUUGAAAAAUAAAUAUGUUAAAAGAAAAUUUUAUUUAUUGUACCUUGUGUAUCAGCGUUUAUUAAAUAAAAAAUAUGUAAUAUAUUUUUCUCGAUUUUAAAAGAGUUAAUAUAAUAUAAAAGUUAAUGUGAUAAAAUUAUUUUGCAUAUUAUAUUAGAAAUGAAAUGUUAUUCGUUUUUAAAGGUAUCUAGUUUUUUAAGAAAUAAAUUUAAUUUAGAAAUUAUAAAUUUAUUAAUUUAAUUUAAUAAAUUAAUAAUUUAUAAUUUUAAUAUUUUAUGGGAUAAGCUGUAAAAUAAAUUUUUAAAAAUAAUAAUUAAUUAAAAAAAAUAUAUGCUUAGAAUUAGCAAUUAUUAAUAAAUUUGUUAUAAUUUAUUUUAUAAAAUUUAUUAUUUAUUAAAUUUUAAAUUUUUAUUAAAAUAUAAAUUUUAAUUUUAAAAAUUUAAAAAUAAUGAUAGAAUUAGUAUAUAAUUUGUAAAAUAAAAAUUUAUGAUAAGUUUUUUUAAAG
rnacentral:rRNA from 1 species